CACAGACUUGACAGGACUGAUAUCAUUGUGCAGAGUCCAUUUUUCUGUGCUUUGAUUUUCUGCUCCAACUUGUUUGGGUUCUUAUUUUGUUUUUCAUCUGGAAUCACUGAUGGUUGAUCAGGGGUGUGUUUUUCUGCCUGGUGGAGCCAGAUCUUUUUGUUUAUUUUUAAGAUGCUUUGGAUGAAACCACCACCGACAUUUGGAUUAAACUUUUGAGAGGCCUGGGACAUCCAUGAUCUAUCUGAUUCAGGAGCAAAUGCAGUUUCCGACCCGUUACCAGGGACAACUGACACAGCAAGGACUCCUGGGAAAAAGAGGCAAACAAAGAGAACCAAUCAGAGGUCCGUAUCCGCCUGACGAAUACUGAUCAGAGUGCACCUGGAACACAGGGGGACAGAAGACAGACAGGUACCUUGAAGGUGGGCAGC